UAGUUUUUGUAGUUGAAUUACAACGGUAGUUUUUCAGACUUCAGGUGUGGGUUAGAGUCCCAGUAAGAAUA
rnacentral:tRNA from 1 species